CCUACGGGAGGCAGCAGUGGGGAAUAUUGGUCAAUGGACGCAAGUCUGAUCCAGCCAUGCCGCGUGCAGGAAGACGUCUCUAUGAGUUGUAAACUGCUUUUGUACGAGGGUAAACGCAGAUACGCGUAUCUGUCUCAAAGUAUAGUACGAAUAAGGAUCGGCUAACUCCGGGCCAGCAGCCGCGGUAAUACGGAUGAUUCAAGCGUUAUCCGGAGUUAUGGGGUUUAAAGGGUGCGUAGGCGGUCGGAUAAGUUAGAGGUGAAGUCCCGAGGCUCAACUUCGGAAUUGCCUUGGAUACUGGUCGGCUAGAGAGUAGUUGAGGUAGGCGGAAUGUAUGGUGUAGCGGUGAAAUGCUUAGAGAUCAUAAAGAACACCGAUUGCGAAGGCAGCUUACCAAGCUACUUCUGACGUUGAGGCACGAAAGCGUGGGGAGCAAACAGGAUUAGAUACCCUGGUAGUC
rnacentral:rRNA from 1 species